rnacentral:rRNA from 1 species
GAUGAACGCUGGCGGCGUGCCUAACACAUGCAAGUCGAACGAGGUAUUUUGAUUGAAGUUUUCGGAUGGAUUUCAAGAUACCGAGUGGCGGACGGGUGAGUAACGCGUGGGUAACCUGCCUCAUACAGGGGGCUAACGGGUAGAAAUGACUGCUAAUACCGCAUAAGCGCACAGUACCGCAUGGUACGGUGUGAAAAACUCCGGUGGUAUGAGAUGGACCCGCGGUUGAUUAGUUAGUUGGUGGGGUAACGGCCCACCAAGGCGACGAUCAGUAGCCGACCUGAGAGGGUGAUCGGCCACAUUGGGACUGAGACACGGCCCAGACUCCUACGGGAGGCAGCAGUGGGGGAUAUUGCACAAUGGAGGAAACUCUGAUGCAGCGACGCCGCGUGAGUGAAGAAGUAUUUCGGUAUGUAAAGCUCUAUCAGCAGGGAAGAAAAUGACGGUACCUGACUAAGAAGCCCCGGCUAACUACGUGCCAGCCGCCGCGGUAA